rnacentral:rRNA from 1 species
AACGAACGCUGGCGGCGCGUCUUAAACAUGCAAGUCGAACGAUCUGUAGCAAUACAGGGAGUGGCGGACGGGUGAGGAACACGUAGGAAUCUACCUUGAAGAGCGGGACAACUUUGGGAAACCGGGGCUAAUACCGCAUAGUACAGAGAUGUUAAAGGGCUAGCAAUAGUCGCUUCGAGAUGAGCCUGCGGUCUACCAGCUUGUUGGUGAGGUAAUGGCUCACCAAGGCUACGACGGAUAGCCGGUCUGAGAGGAUGAUCGGCCACACUGGCACUGAGACACGGGCCAGACUCCUACGGGAGGCAGCAGUUAAGAAUCUUGCGCAAUGGGGGAAACCCUGACGCAGCGACGCCGCGUGAAGGAUGAAGGCUUUCGGUUGUAAACUUCGUAGACUGGAAGAAGAAA